rnacentral:rRNA from 1 species
UACGGAGGAUGCGAGCGUUAUCCGGAUUUAUUGGGUUUAAAGGGUGCGUAGGCGGAUUUUUAAGUCAGCGGUAAAACGUCCGGGCUCAACCCGGGCCGGCCGUUGAAACUGGGGAUCUUGAGUGGGCGAGAAGUAUGCGGAAUGCGUGGUGUAGCGGUGAAAUGCAUAGAUAUCACGCAGAACUCCGAUUGCGAAGGCAGCAUACCGGCGCCCGACUGACGCUGAGGCACGAAAGCGUGGGGGUCGAACAGG